rnacentral:rRNA from 1 species
CCUACGGGUGGCUGCAGUGGGGAAUAUUGGACAAUGGGCGAAAGCCUGAUCCAGCCAUGCCGCGUGUGUGAAGAAGGCCUUCGGGUUGUAAAGCACUUUCAGUGGGGAAGAAAGCCUUGGGGCUAAUACCCUCGAGGAAGGACAUCACCCACAGAAGAAGCACCGGCUAACUCCGUGCCAGCAGCUGCGGUAAUACGGAGGGUGCGAGCGUUAAUCGGAAUUACUGGGCGUAAAGCGCGCGUAGGCGGUCUGAUAAGCCGGUUGUGAAAGCCCCGGGCUCAACCUGGGAACGGCAUCCGGAACUGUCAGGCUAGAGUGCAGGAGAGGAAGGUAGAAUUCCCGGUGUAGCAGUGAAAUGCGUAGAGAUCGGGAGGAAUACCAGUGGCGAAGGCGGCCUUCUGGACUGACACUGACGCUGAGGUGCGAAAGCGUGGGUAGCAAACAGGAUUAGAUACCCGAGUAGUC